GGGGAUUUAGCUCAGUGGUGUAAGCGCUUGCCUGGCAAGCAGGAGGUCAUGAGUUAAAUCCCCA
rnacentral:tRNA from 1 species